rnacentral:rRNA from 1 species
GAUGAACGCUGGCGGCGUGCUUAACACAUGCAAGUCGAACGAAGCACUUUUACAGAUUUCUUCGGAAUGAAGUUUUAGUGACUGAGUGGCGGACGGGUGAGUAACGCGUGGGUAACCUGCCUCACACAGGGGGAUAACAGUUGGAAACGGCUGCUAAUACCGCAUAAGCGCACAGUACUGCAUGGUACGGUGUGAAAAACUCCGGUGGUGUGAGAUGGACCCGCGUCUGAUUAGCUAGUUGGCAGGGCAACGGCCUACCAAGGCGACGACCAGCAGCCGACCUGAGAGGGUGACCGGCCACAUUGGGACUGAGACACGGCCCAAACUCCUACGGGAGGCAGCAGUGGGGAAUAUUGCACAAUGGGGGAAACCCUGAUGCAGCGACGCCGCGUGAGCGAAGAAGUAUUUCGGUAUGUAAAGCUCUAUCAGCAGGGGAGAAGGAAUGACGGUACCUGACUAAGAAGCACCGGCUAAAUACGUGCCAGCCGCCGCAGUAA